rnacentral:rRNA from 1 species
AGAGCGAACGCUGGCGGCAGGCUUAACACAUGCAAGUCGAGCGGGCGUAGCAAUACGUCAGCGGCAGACGGGUGAGUAACGCGUGGGAACAUACCUUUUGGUUCGGAACAACCCAGGGAAACUUGGGCUAAUACCGGAUAAGCCCUUACGGGGAAAGAUUUAUCGCCGAAAGAUUGGCCCGCGUCUGAUUAGCUAGUUGGUGAGGUAACGGCUCACCAAGGCGACGAUCAGUAGCUGGUCUGAGAGGAUGAUCAGCCACAUUGGGACUGAGACACGGCCCAAACUCCUACGGGAGGCAGCAGUGGGAAUAUGGACAAUGGGCGCAAGCCUGAUCCAGCCAUGCCGCGUGAGUGAUGAAGGCCCUAGGGUUGUAAAGCUCUUUUGUGCGGAAGAUAAUGACGGUACCGCAAGAAUAAGCCCGGCUAACUUCGUGCCAGCAGCCGC